UAGGGAAUAUUGGGCAAUGGGCGAGAGCCUGACCCAGCCAUGCCGCGUGCAGGAAGACGGCCCUCUGGGUUGUAAACUGCCUUUGAAUGGGAAGAACGGUAGGCCCGCGGGCUUAAUUGACGGUACCUUUAGAAUAAGCCACGGCUAACUACGUGCCAGCCGCCGCGGUAAUACGUUGGUGGCGCGCGUUAUCCGGAUCUAUUGGGUUUUAAGGGUGCGUAGGCGGCGUAAUAAGUCGGUGGUCAAAGGUAGCAGCUUAACUGUUUUACAUGCCAGCGAUACUGUUGAGCUUGAGAUAUGUGGAGGCAGAUGGAAUUUCCGGUGUAGCGGUGAAAUGCAUAGAUACAGGAAGGAACUCCUAUUGCGAAGGCAAUCUGCUACAGAUAAACUGACGCUGAUGCACGAAAGCGUGGGGAUCAAACAGGAUU
rnacentral:rRNA from 1 species